rnacentral:misc_RNA from 1 species
GAUGAAGAACGUAGCGAAAUGCGAUACUUGGUGUGAAUUGCAGAAUCCCGUGAACCAUCGAGUCUUUGAACGCAAGUUGCGCCCGAAGCCAUUAGGCCGAGGGCACGCCUGCCUGGGCGUCACACGUCGUUGCCCCCCCAUCUACUCCUUCGGGAUUGCGGGGGGCGGAUGAUGGCCUCCCGUGCGCCUCGUCGCGCGGUUGGCAUAAAUGCCAAGUCCUCGGCGACGCACGCCACGACAAUCGGUGGUUGCGAAACCUCGGUUGCCCGUCGUGUGCGGUCGUCGCGCAUCGAGGGCUCGAAAAAAUUGCCUGGCUCCGGCUCGGCUUUCAACGCGACCCCAGGUCAGGCGGGGUUACCCGCUGAAUUUAAGCAUAUCAAUAAGCGGAGGA